GGAACAGGAGGCAGAGUCCCACCACGACGCCGCAAACUGCUCCAGCAAUCAUGCCAAUAUUUUGGGCAUCUGUUAACAGGGUAUCGGUCACAGUAUCUGUUGAUCUGGGCAGAGCAUCUAUCACAUCAUUCUCCUGUCUGCGUCAGCCUGAACACACUGAUGGGGAAAUCAAAGCUCCAAAAGGACUCAAAGCCACCUGCUGGGAUCGCAGUGGAGAUGACAGGAAAAUUAACAACCAAAAGAUUUCAAUUUCAUCAGUGAAAAGCUUUCAGUCCAAUUAAAUAAGGUCACCACAGACCUGACAGACAGCCCACACUCUUGCAAUAAAGAUAGUAUUAAGUUAUGUAUGCCAUUUCUCAGGCAUUCAUCACUGUAUUUUGUACAGGAGGUCACUAUUUUCACCUUAAGCAUGGGAGAGCAUUCUGCUCCAUCUUCCAGGAGAUAGGAAAGCUGGAUAACAGAGUUCCCCUACCCAGAAGGACAAACUCUCUCAACUUUCAUAGCAUACCUCAAAGACUGAUGCAAGCCUAAUGUUUAAUCUCGUCCAACUGCCUAAGACAUUUUUCCCUGGCAUCUACUCUCAACACUCAUAUAUUAUGCACUACUUUCUUUUGGAUUGAAAGUAGCCAUAGAGAAUAUAUGAACAGUGACUGCUAUUUAAAAUGCAGAAAUAACACUUAAUCUGCUACAUCAACUCUUCCCUGUCUGCAGACUGAACAUAACUGAUGGUGUGUGCUUAUAAAGCAUGCGUAAUCAUUACCUGCUCAAUUACUGUUGUUAUAAUGCAUGGUUUAGCAAUAAGCACUGCCUGUUGUGGGGCUCUACCAGUUCCCUGUAUUAAGGAAAUUCUUAAUGUUUUGUUUCCAUUUCUACAUCAUAAUCAGGCCCUAGCUUUAUGCACGUGGGCUCAGGAUAUUUUUCCUUUUCUUUACAUUAUCAGUCUGCUUGCCACAUCUUUGCUGAAGGGGAUUCCUCACUUUAAGUCCUUCUCUCGGUAGGGCAGGAUGGCCUCCUUUGGUUGAGGAUUAUAGGCUCUGACAGUGCCGAGACAGAAAAAUAAAGCUCUAGAAUGAUUUAAAGCAAUGAGCAGGGCUGCUGCCCUAAGACCAGUUACAUGCACCCAACUACCAUUGUCUCCUGCAACUCAGACCCACUCUAAAUAUGGCCUUCUCCUGGACUUUAUCCAGUGGGAACACAUGAGUGUACACCUGGUGGUAACCAUCUCCCCCUCCAGGGGCAGGGAGGAAAGGGACAAGAAUAUUUACCAUUUUC